rnacentral:rRNA from 1 species
CUACGGGCCGCAGCAGUGGGGAAUAUUGGACAAUGGGGGAAACCCUGAUCCAGCAAUGCCGCGUGUGUGAAGAAGGCCUGCGGGUUGUAAAGCACUUUCGGUUGGGAGGACUGCUUCUAGCACUAAUAUUGUUGGAAGUUGACGUUACCUUCAGAAGAAGCACCGGCUAACUCCGUGCCAGCAGCCGCGGUAAUACGGAGGGUGCAAGCGUUAAUCGGAAUUACUGGGCGUAAAGCGCGCGUAGGCGGCUAGAUCAGUCGGGUGUGAAAGCCCCGGGCUUAACCUGGGAACUGCAUCCGAUACUGUCUAGCGCGAGUACAGGAGAGGAGAGUGGAAUUCCACAUGUAGCGGUGAAAUGCGUAGAUAUGUGGAGGAACACCAAUGGCGAAGGCAGCUCUCUGGCCUGAUACUGACGCUGAGGUGCGAAAGCAUGGGGAGCAAACAGGAUUAGAUACCCUAGUAGUC